CCCAUCUAUGGGGCUGGUGUGGGGUUGAUCCCCCAUCCAUGGGGCAGGGGCGGUGCUAGAUCCCACCUAUGGGGCCGAGCCCCCCAUCUCGGGGGGCCCCAUCCUACUUUUGGGUGUAAAACAGGCACAACUGGGCAAUAUGGGGUGACCAUAAAGAGGUUUAUUGACCCCAGAACCCUCCGGAUGCCCCCAGCCAGCCCCUGGGGGAGGGGGAGGGUUAAUUAGUGUCUGAAGUCGUUAACGAGGCGGAGCCGCUCAUUAGGAGUCCGGAAGGGGGGGGGGGAAGGGGGGAGCAUUCCCGGUGUUUUGGGGGCAUUACCAGUAUUCCCGGUGUUCCCAGUAUUCCCAGUCUCGGGGAGCAAUCCCAGCAUUCCGGAGCAUUCCCAGUAUUCCUAGUGUUCUGGAGCAUUCCUGGUGUUCCUGGAACAUUCCCGGUGUUCCCAGCGUUGGGAAUCGUUCCCAGUGUUCCCAGUAGUGGGGAGCAUUCCCAGUAUGCCUGGUGUUCUGGAGCGUUCCUGGGGUUCCCGAUGUUGGGGAGCAUUCCCAGUAUUCCCAGUCUCGGGGAGCAAUCCCAGCAUUCCGGAGCAUUCCUGAUGUUCUGGAGCAUUCCUGGGGCUUCCCAGUAUUCCCAGUAUCCCCAGCACUGGGGAGCAUUCCCAGUAUUCCCAACAUUCCCAUCUGCCAAAUCCAGCUCCGGCUCCGUUCCGGGAUGAGCCAAUUCCGGGUGGAUUUACCCCAAAAUU
rnacentral:lncRNA from 1 species